AGCGAACGCUGGCGGUAGGCCUAACGCAUGCAAGUCGAACGGCAGCACAGUAAGAGCUUGCUCUUACGGGUGGCGAGUGGCGGACGGGUGAGGAAUACAUCGGAAUCUACUUUUUCGUGGGGGAUAACGUAGGGAAACUUACGCUAAUACCGCAUACGACCUACGGGUGAAAGCAGGGGAUCUUCGGACCUUGCGCGAUUGAAUGAGCCGAUGUCGGAUUAGCUAGUUGGCGGGGUAAAGGCCCACCAAGGCGACGAUCCGUAGCUGGUCUGAGAGGAUGAUCAGCCACACUGGAACUGAGACACGGUCCAGACUCCUACGGGAGGCAGCAGUGGGGAAUAUUGGACAAUGGGCGCAAGCCUGAUCCAGCCAUACCGCGUGGGUGAAGAAGGCCUUCGGGUUGUAAAGCCCUUUUGUUGGGAAAGAAAAGCAGCAGGUUAAUACCCCGCUGUUCUGACGGUACCCAAAGAAUAAGCACCGGCUAACUUCGU
rnacentral:rRNA from 1 species